ensembl:lncRNA
GUGGUACUGGUGUGCAAUGACUGUGCAAAGGAGGGGGGCUGGUGUGCAAUGAGUGUGCAAAGGGUGUGCAAGGAGUGACACCAGCGUGCAAAGGGCUGUGAGCGGCACUGGUGUGCAAUGAGCAUGCAAAGGAGGCAUGCUGGUGUGCGAGGAGUGAGCAGUGUGUGUGCAAGGAGUGACACCAACGUGCAAAAGGCUUUGAACGGCACUGGUGUGCAAUGAUGUGCAAAGGGGGGGUGCAUGGGGUGGUGCUGGUGUGCAAGGAGCGAGCAAUGCGUGUGCAAGGAGUGACACCAACGUGCAAAGGGCUGUGAGCAGCACUGGUGUGCAACGAG